UAGGGAAUAUUGGUCAAUGGGUGCAAGCCUGAUCCAGCCAUGCCGCGUGUGUGAAGAAGGUCUUCGGAUUGUAAAGCACUUUAAGUUGGGAGGAAGGGCCAUUACCUAAUACGUGAUGGUUUUGACGUUACCGACAGAAUAAGCACCGGCUAACUCUGUGCCAGCAGCCGCGGUAAUACAGAGGGUGCAAGCGUUAAUCGGAAUUACUGGGCGUAAAGCGCGCGUAGGUGGUUAGUUAAGUUGGAUGUGAAAUCCCCGGGCUUAACCUGGGAACUGCAUCCAAAACUGGCAAGCUAGAGUAUGGUAGAGGGUGGUGGAAUUUCCUGUGUAGCGGUGAAAUGCGUAGAUAUAGGAAGGAACACCAGUGGCGAAGGCGACCACCUGGACUGAUACUGACACUGAGGUGCGAAAGCGUGGGGAGCAAACAGGAUUAGAUACCCACGUAGUCCCUGAGCGGGCUGGCAAGGCGCAU
rnacentral:rRNA from 1 species